ensembl:lncRNA
CCUCCCCCAGAUGGCAGGAUGACCAGUAGAUGUUAAAUACAUUAAAAUAUAAAUUAGAUACACAAUAAGCAGACCGUUAUUUUGCUGAGGUACUGCAUUUCAAAAAUGAAAGUAUUCAUUGUAAAUGCUCCGGAUCAUACAGACUUGGAGCUACUACAAGGGGAUCUUUGAGGUAAGUUAGCUCUACCACUUCAGCACUUUUAUGGAAGCCCUAAAAGGUUAAGGGAUUUUAGCUAAGGAAGUAAAUAGAUUCAAUUCCAAGUACUUUGAUAUCAAACAUAAGUUCUUUCCCGAGCCGCAAGCUGCAGUGGCAUUUUAAUUUUCCUGCACUAAAACGAAAAAGGCUCUUCUCUUGGGGGCAAGCACAAGCAGGAAGAGGCCCGUCAGUAUUCCAAUCUGUAAAACGGGAGUACGGAUAAUCGCAUGGCUCAUCUCACUGAGAGGAAGGCUCUCACACACGCUAAACGGCCAAGGCCAGCGUUUCAGGUUCGCAAGUUCACCAAUCCAGGCGUGGAAAGGUUCUCAGAGGCUGCCUCGCUGCUCUGGCUGUACAGACUGGGGAGCUGAGCCCGGAGCGUGCCCAAGGACAAACCGGGCACUGCCGGCUCAGACUCCAGGCAGUCUCUGCCAUUCCGCAGGCCUCCCCGCUUUCUUCCCCCUUUGAAUCGCGCGCCCCGCGGCGCUCCGCAGCGCCGCUUUCUCGUUUUGGAUGAGAAGCCCGAGCCCAGAGCGGGGAAGGGCCUUCAGGAAGAGACAACUUCGAUACACUGUUCGAAAUGUGACUUGGGAGACUCUAUCGGCAGGUUGCGGCAGCAGGCAGGGCCGGCCCGGCCUCUCACUUCUAACGCCCGGCUCGUUGCCCCCCGCUCGGGAUUUUCGGUGAGGGUGCCAGACCCAUCGCGCCCAAGGACUCCAGACCCGUUCGGGAAGCGCGCCUAUCCCACGGCACUCUCUCGCUGCGCCCCUCCCCCAUUAAAAAAAAAAAAAAAAAAAACAACAAGUCGCCGCACGUGUAUCUGUAUUGUUAGGGUCCCUUAAAGGGCCAGCAGUAGCCUGCCCGCUAGGCGACUCCCGGCCGCCGGCGCCGCGAGCGCACACCCAGGGAGGACGCGCGUCCCCUCCCCCACACCAUGGGGCCCCGCGCCGCGGCGGCGGCGGCCCAUCCAUCCCUCCUUCCCCCGCCGGGCCCGCGGCGCGGACCGCGCAGCGCGGGAGGGGAGAGGGCCCCUCCCCGCCCGGCCCCGGCCCCCGGCGGCGGCCCGGGAGGCGCGCGGGCCGGGCCGGUCGGGCGCGCGCGGCAGGCGGCGGGGAGCCCGAGCCGCCGCGGCGUGCCGAGGCUUCGCGAGCUCUCGUGACGUCAGAGGGCCGCUCGCCAGCAGAACGUUCCAUUGAGGCGAGCGAGCGCGUGCGGCGGCCCGAGCACAUGGGGAAAACGGGCUGGGACGGGCUGCCUGGCAGACCGGGGCCGGGGGGCCGGGCCCCCGGGACUCGCGGACCCCGCUGCGGAAGGGAUUCUAGCCGCUGUGUGACCUGUGGAUCCGGGGUCGGACUCGCCCUCCACAGUUCUGGAAUAGCGCUGCCUGGUUCACUUGUACCAAGUGACUUCAGGCCGGGGACCUCUUCUCUUCUCUUCCCCUCCCCCUCCCCUUAA